rnacentral:lncRNA from 1 species
GAAUCCUUGGCAUUUAGCCCCUUGUAUGAAAGGGCACAUCUUUGUGCACUUCAAACCUUAGGAAAGAAAGUUUUAUUACCUCAUUUUGUCUUUAUAUCACAUAGAUUUUGGAAAGUAUUUCCUUUCUUUCUCCUCUCCCCCAUCUGCCCUGAAACUGACCCUUUUCUUGGAACAAAGAAAAAAGUUAAGCAAAAACAUCUGAAAUAGUGACCUCUAAGGAACUAUUAUUGGAUUUUCAAUGACUGAAAGUUCAGCUUUAUUUUAAUUUACAUUGCUGUAGUUUAAAGCAGUCCUUUUUGCUUUGACUAUUCAAGUACCAACCAGACUACUUAGAGUCUAGAACUUCAAAGUAUAGUAAAUUAACCUCAAAAGUUUUUCUUUUCUGUAUUUGUCACUGUGGAUGUAGAAUGUGCCAAGUGGGGUCAUGAACACACAUACUUAGGUACAACUGCCAAAGUUAAGAUUUUUCUUUAUGGUAGUUUGGUGGAUAGAGCCCUGGGCUGGAAGUUGGAAGACCCAGGACACUUACUAGCCCAGGGACCUUGGGCACUUCACUUUACCUAUGUCUGUUUCCUCAGUUUUAGUUUGGAUGUUUUCCUUUGUGGGGUGUGUAGUUGGGGGGGGACUGGGGUGAUUCCUUCCUGGGAUGACUUCCUCCCUUUCAGAUCCCUUCCAAACCUUGAGGUUCUAGGAAGUGGUCUUGGCUUGUGGGCACCCUGUGUGAGCUGCCUGGGACUCAGAGCUUCGGGCCAGUGACACUUACUGGGCGUGUGACCUUGGUUUAGACCCUUAACCUUCCUGAAGCUCAGUUGCCUCACAUGUAAAUUGGAAAUAAAACUAUAGUAUAUAAAGGGAAUGUGUGUUGCUGCUGCUACCUCCCCAGCUCUGUUCCCUGAAGCUCCUGGCAUUGGCCAGAAGUGAGUCAGGCCCCCAAGCUGGCACUGGGGCCUGUGGAGCAGUUUGGGUUUGUUGUGGUUUUCUAUGCCAAUGGUUAGCUCCCGGCCCUGCUGGUGGCUGGACCGUGGAACGUCGGGGCCUGGGUGUCCACUCGCGCUCCAGCCGCCGCCCUAGCACCUUUCAAAAGUCGCUGGAGGCCCCGCGAUCCCCGCUGCCUCGGUGGGGCUCCCAGCUCGCUCGCCGGCCCCUGCAGCCCUCUCUCCUAGGCUUUCUCUGUUCAGCCCACCCCCGUAAGGUGCAGGAGCCAGGUCUGCGCCGGCAGAGGAGCCCCGAGGCCACCCCGGAGCCUUGGCGCCUGGCUGCCCCGCCUGGACCAGCAAGUGUCUCUCCUCAGCCAGUACGCGAGCCUUGGCGAGGCCGCAAAGGCGGCCGCAUUGACGUCCACUCAGCACCCUCAAAGGGGAGCCAGGCAGCUACGCCGCCUCUCUUUAACUUCUCAUGGCUCAGAGGAACAGAAAACCCAAGAGGAAACUGAAGUGUUGUCCUUGCCUUUCCUCUCCCGGGCCAGAUGAGGACUGGCCGGAGCAGGUGAGAAGAAGGGCCCCUAGGGAGAGGAGAUUUGGACUUUUUUUGAGGAGAGAGAAGGGGACGUCCAUAUCUACUCUGAUUUAGAUUACUCUGAGAGAAAGCUGCUCUGGGAGUUAGGGUCAGCUAGAUUCCAAAGAGUGGGCAUCCUAAUAAUCAAUCACUUAUGCAUCCUGUGUGAGAUACUGAAGGAAUGGAGGGGUAACAGAAAAGCACGGAGUCCCCUGCCCCCAGAGGAGCUUGCCCUAGCUGGGGUGACAAUUGGUGUUCCGAAAUACCUUUAAUACAAGGUAGACUAUGAAAGUGGAGGAAGGGAAUUCAGAACAAAUGGCUGGAGGAGCUGUGAGGAAGGAGAGCUUAGAGAUCUAAAUCAGCCAAGCUUCAGGAAGGAAGUGGCACCUAAGGGGAAUAGUUUUCCAAAAAAGAAUUUAUCAAAACCAGAUCUGCUGUCCUUCCAAGUUGGCUCUAUCUUGAGUUCUAACUCCAGCUCUAUCAUUAAAGUAAUUGUGUGACAUUAGAUUACUAAUUGUGUGGCCCUGGAUAAAUCUCAUGACCUUCCUGGGCCUUAGUUUCCUCAUCUAUAAAAUGAGAGAAUUGGAGGAGGCAGUCCUCUGAUGUCCCUUCCAGCUCUAGAAUAUCAUCCUGUGAAGCUAUUUUCUUUUUCCGAGAAUUAGUUUUCUCAUUUGUGAAAUUUGCUUGAUUUAUUCUAGACAAUACUUGAUGAUUCUAUGAUCAAGUUGAGAGGGGACAUACAUAAUGUUAUCCCCAGACAUUACAAGUAGAUCUUGUAAGCAGAAAGUCCCAUCCCAAUCCCCUUUUUUUUUUACCUUCAUUGGUAUUAAUAGUUCCCAGUUGGGUGUGAAACCUCCCACCAGUGUUAGAGAGUUGCCUGGGCAUUAGAACACUAAUAGUUCUAGUGAUUAGCCCAUAGUCACACAUUCAAUAAAUAUUCAAGAUUUCUAGACA